rnacentral:rRNA from 1 species
UACGGAGGGGGCGAGCGUUGUUCGGAGUUACUGGGCGUAAAGCGCACGUAGGCGGUGCGGUAAGUCAGGGGUUAAAGGCUGCAGCUCAACUGCAGUAAGGCCUUUGAUACUAUCGUGCUAGAGUGUCAGAGAGGAUGGCGGAAUUCCCGGUGUAGCGGUGAAAUGCGUAGAUAUCGGGAGGAAUACCAGUGGCGAAGGCGGCCAUCUGGCUGAUAACUGACGCUGAGGUGCGAGAGCGUGGGGAGCAAACAGG